rnacentral:rRNA from 1 species
AGCGAACGCUGGCUGCGUGCUUAACACAUGCAAGUCGAACGGUGAAAGGGAGCUUGCUCCCUGGAUCAGUGGCGAACGGGUGAGUAACACGUGGGCAACCUGCCCCUCACUCUGGGAUAACUCCGGGAAACCGGGGCUAAUACCGGAUACGACCUGGUGCGACAUCGCACCGGGUGGAAAGAACUUCGGUGAGGGAUGGGCCCGCGGCCUAUCAGCUUGUUGGUGGGGUAACGGCCCACCAAGGCGACGACGGGUAGCCGGCCUGAGAGGGCGAUCAGCCAAACGGGAACUGAGACACGGUCCCGACUCCUACGGGGGGCAGCAGUGAGGAAUAUUGGGCAAUGGGCGGAAGCCUGACCCAGCAACGCCGCGUGGAGGAAUGAAGGCCUUCGGGCUGUAAACUCCUUUUGCAGGGGAAGAGGAAGGACGGUACCCUGCGAAUAAGUCACGGCUAACUACGUGCCAGCCGCCGCGGUAACAC